AUAUUAAUAAGCGGAGGAAAAGAAACUAACAAGGAUUCCCCUAGUAACGGCGAGUGAAGCGGGAUGAGCUCAAGCUUAAAAUCUCUGUGCCAGUUUGGCAUGGCGAAUUGUAGUCUAUGGAGGCGUUGUCAGUGCGGCUAUGCGGGAUAAGUUCCUUGGAAGAGGGCAGCAUCGAGGGUGAUACUCCCGUAUGUGCCUGUGUAGCUGUGCGUACGACACGUUUUCUGAGAGUCGCGUUGCUUGGGAAUGCAGCGCAAAGCAGGUGGUAAAUUCCAUCUAAAGCUAAAUAUUGGUGCGAGACCGAUAGCGCACAAGUA
rnacentral:rRNA from 1 species